CAGCAGUGGGGAAUCUUAGACAAUGGGCGCAAGCCUGAUCUAGCCAUGCCGCGUGUGUGAUGAAGGUCUUAGGAUCGUAAAGCACUUUCGCCAGGGAUGAUAAUGACAGUACCUGGUAAAGAAACCCCGGCUAACUCCGUGCCAGCAGCCGCGGUAAUACGGAGGGGGUUAGCGUUGUUCGGAAUUACUGGGCGUAAAGCGUACGUAGGCGGAUUGGAAAGUUGGGGGUGAAAUCCCAGGGCUCAACCCUGGAACUGCCUCCAAAACUAUCAGUCUAGAGUUCGAGAGAGGUGAGUGGAAUUCCAAGUGUAGAGGUGAAAUUCGUAGAUAUUUGGAGGAACACCAGUGGCGAAGGCGGCUCACUGGCUCGAUACUGACGCUGAGGUACGAAAGUGUGGGGAGCAAACAGGAUUAGAUACCCUGGUAGUCCACACCGUAAACGAUGAAUGCCAGUCGUCGGGCAGUAUACUGUUCGGUGACACACCUAACGGAUUAAGCAUUCCGCCUGGGGAGUACGGUCGCAAGAUUAAAAUCA
rnacentral:rRNA from 1 species